rnacentral:tRNA from 1 species
GUGGGUAUAGCUCACGUGGCAGAGUGCAUGCUCAGCAUGCAAGAGGUCCUGGGUUCAAACCCCAGUACCGCCA